CUCUCUAAGAUCACUACUAUGGCACAUUGGUUACUCGUGUAUCCUAUGUUUAUUGUAAAUUAUUCACUCUUUGAGUGUGGAAUACAUAGUUAAUACACCUCAUUAUUAUUUCUCUCAUUCCUCUCUCUCUCUCUCAGUUUCUUUUGCAAGCUUUGUGUGAAUUUAUACUAGCUAGGUUCUCUAUUUAGGUUUUAGAAAAACUUCACAACAAGUAAUGAUUAAUAGGGACUAUUGGGGGCAUUCGUAUUUCUUUGUCUAAGGUGAAAUUAUUGGAUUUAUGAAAGACAAACCAUCGUGAAAGCAUUUGGCAAGCAUGUUUUCAUUAUUGAAGAAUGAAAGUUAGGGGCUCGAAGAUGAUUAUAUAUCGUCCUAGUCUCAACCAUAAAUGAUGUUGAACAUGGAUCAAUGGAUGUUUCUCUAAGGACUCCUCCAACAACUUCUAAGAAAUCAUAGUGUUUGGGU
rnacentral:ncRNA from 1 species